rnacentral:rRNA from 1 species
UACGUAGGGUGCGAGCGUUGUCCGGAAUUAUUGGGCGUAAAGGGCUCGUAGGCGGUCUGUCACGUCGGGAGUGAAAACUCAGGGCUUAACCCUGAGCUUGCUUCCGAUACGGGCUGACUAGAGGUAUGCAGGGGAGAACGGAAUUCCUGGUGUAGCGGUGAAAUGCGCAGAUAUCAGGAGGAACACCGGUGGCGAAGGCGGCGUUCUGGACUGCAACUGACACUGAAAAACGAAAGCCAGGGGAGCAAACAGG